AGUGAACGCUGGCGGUAGGCCUAACACAUGCAAGUCGAACGGCAGCACAGGAGAGCUUGCUCUCUGGGUGGCGAGUGGCAGACGGGUGAGGAAUACAUCGGAAUCUACUCUGUCGUGGGGGAUAACGUAGGGAAACUUACGCUAAUACCGCAUACGACCUACGGGUGAAAGCAGGGGACCUUCGGGCCUUGCGCGAUUGAAUGAGCCGAUGUCGGAUUAGCUAGUUGGCGGGGCAAAGGCCCACCAAGGCGACGAUCCGUAGCUGGUCUGAGAGGAUGAUCAGCCACACUGGAACUGAGACACGGUCCAGACUCCUACGGGAGGCAGCAGUGGGGAAUAUUGGACAAUGGGCGCAAGCCUGAUCCAGCCAUACCGCGUGGGUGAAGAAGGCCUUCGGGUUGUAAAGCCCUUUUGUUGGGAAAGAAAUCCAGCUGGCUAAUACCCGGUUGGGAUGACGGUACCCAAAGAAUAAGCACCGGCUAACUUCGUGCCAGCAGCCGCCGUAA
rnacentral:rRNA from 1 species